rnacentral:ncRNA from 1 species
GAUCUCCGUGUGAAGGGAAACUUUCAUGCCUGGUGGAGGGAGGGGCUAACGGGAAAAGGCAAUGAUAACUUCGAAUUUUCACCUAUUUUUAU